rnacentral:rRNA from 1 species
AUGAUUGUCGUGUCGACUUGUAAUCUGGUAUGCAUUCAAGAAUCUAAACUGCAACUACUGGACAGCAACACCGCCGCUUAUAUUGGGGGUUUCAGGCUCAAAGAUUUUGCUCAUAGGUCGGCUUUAGGAACAAAAGGUGGCAUCAUCUUGCUCUGGAACAACGACCAAAUCCUUAUCAGUGACAUUCAUCUGGGAGAGUUCCUUCUCUCGGCCUUGAUCAAGCUUGCCAACACUGAUGUGUCCUUCAGGCUUACAACCAUUUACGGGCCCACUGCUAGCAACAGGAAGGAUGACUUUUUCAUGGAGCUCCUUGCCCAGAAGCCGUCGCUGGGCUCGAUGUGGCUUCUCAAUGGUGAUUUCAACCAAAUUUACCAUGCCAAGGACAAGAAUAAGAGGAACGCUAAUAUUUCGUGCAUUAACUACUUCCGAUCAGUCCUGCAUUCCUGUGAGCUCAAGGAGAUCCAGUUCCAAAACAGGAAUUUUACAUGGAGUAACGAGAGAGCUAAUCCAACCCUACGCAAACUUGAUGGGUUCUUCUACAACUCUGAUUGGGACCUUCAUUUUGACUGUCACAUCCUUAAUGACCUGUCGUCAUCUCUUUCGGAUCAUUGUCCUUUGCUCCUUGCUAGCGACCAUGGCCCCAAGCAUCCCAGAGCCUUCAAAUUCGAUUUUUUUUGGACUAGACUUCCGGGCUUCAAGAAGACCGUGGCAGACUCUUGGGCCAUGCCCACUAAGCACACCGAGGCAUGCCAAAUUCUUUCUGAAAAGCUCAAGUACGCGGUGGUCUGUCUUCACAACUAGAGUAAUAAUUUCUUCUCUGAUGCCAAGUUACAACUCUUUAUGGCCCUGGAGGUAGUCCUGCGACUAGAUAUGGCUAUGGACAUGCGCCCAUUGUCCCUGGAGGAGAGAGUCCUAAGGGCUAAGCUUAAGAAGCAGAUCAUUGGACUUGCUAUCUUAGAAAGGGUGCGGAAGAGACAAUCCCCGGGAGUUACCAACCUUAAGGAGGGGGUGCGGACACUAAUUGUUUUUCACCUUAAGGUCAAUGGCCGAAGACGGAAGAACUUCAUCCAUCGCCUCCGUAACAGAGUGGGUUGGGUGUCCUCCUGUUAUGGAAAAGAAAAGGUGGUACAUGAUCAUUUCUCUGGGAUGCUUUGCAAAGGUCGGCGAUGUCAGCAAGAUCUCAAUUGGGAGUGCUUACAAUUCAAUCACUGCGACCUCACCAACCUUGGCGACACAAUCUCUGAGGAUGAGAUUCUUGAUGCAAUAAAGGAUUUGCAAAGGAUAAGGCGUGAGGCCCAGAUGGUUAUACUGGAGCAUUCUUCAACUCAUGUUGGGACCUCAUCAAGACCGAUGUCAUGGUUGUGA